rnacentral:rRNA from 1 species
CGAGGGGCAGCGGGGUAGUGCUUGCACUACUGCCGGCGACCGGCGCACGGGUGAGUAACACGUAUGGAACCUGCCCGCAGCAGGGGGAUAAGCGGAAGAAAUUCCGUCUAAUACCGCGUAACAACGUUGGGAGGCAUCUCCCGAUGUUUAAAGAUUUAUCGGCUGCGGAUGGCCAUGCGGCGCAUUAGCUAGUCGGCGGGGUAACGGCCCACCGAGGCGACGAUGCGUAGGGGUUCUGAGAGGAAGGUCCCCCACACUGGUACUGAGACACGGACCAGACUCCUACGGGAGGCAGCAGUGAGGAAUAUUGGUCAAUGGCCGAGAGGCUGAACCAGCCAAGUCGCGUGAGGGAAGACGGCCCUACGGGUUGUAAACCUCUUUUGUCGGGGAGCAAAGCGAACCACGUGUGGUUCAUUGAGAGUACCCGAAGAAAAAGCAUCGGCUAACUCCGUGCCAGCAGCCGCGGUAAUACGGAGGAUGCGAGCGUUAUCCGGAUUUAUUGGGUUUAAAGGGUGCGCAGGCGGAGGUGCAAGUCAGCGGUCAAAUUUGCGGGGCUCAACCCCGUAACUGCCGUUGAAACUGCAUCCCUUGAGUGCGCGAGAAAUAUGCCGGAAUGCGUGGUGUUAGCGGUGAAAUGCAUAGAUAUCACGCAGAACUCCGAUUGCGCAAGGCAGCAUACCGGCGCGCAACUGACGCUCAUGCACGAAAGCGUGGGUAUCGAACAGGAUUAGAUACCCUGGUAGUCCACGCAGUAAACGAUGAACACUAACUGUUCGGCCAGAAUGAUGGCUGAGUGGUACAGCGAAAGCGUUAAGUGUUCCACCUGGGGAGUACGCCGGCAACGGUGAAACUCAAAGGAAUUGACGGGGGCCCGCACAAGCGGAGGAACAUGUGGUUUAAUUCGAUGAUACGCGAGGAACCUUACCCGGGCUCAAACGACACAGGAAUACUUUUGAAAGGAGGUAGCCCUACGGGGUCUGUGUCGAGGUGCUGCAUGGUUGUCGUCAGCUCGUGCCGUGAGGUGUCGGCUUAAGUGCCAUAACGAGCGCAACCCCUAUCGCCAGUUACCAUCAAGUAAAGUUGGGGACUCUGGCGAGACUGCCGGCGCAAGCUGAGAGGAAGGCGGGGAUGACGUCAAAUCAGCACGGCCCUUACGUCCGGGGCGACACACGUGUUACAAUGGCAGGUACAGAGAGAAGCCAGGUGGCGACACCGCGCGGAACUCGAAAGCCUGUCUCAGUUCGGAUCGGAGUCUGCAACCCGACUCCGUGAAGCUGGAUUCGCUAGUAAUC